rnacentral:lncRNA from 1 species
UGAAAACUUGAUGUUGAAGAUGGUGUCUGAUAGAAAAUGAAAGAAAGAAGAAAAAGCAAAGAAUGAUGAAAGCAUAAAAGAGAUUUUAUAUAUGAAGUGAGAGUACAAAAGCAUCAUAGACAUUCUGGUUACAGAUUCAUGGAAAGAGAGAGAGAAGAUGAUUAUUGAUGGAGGCACUACAAAGAUGAAAGUCUUUUAUUUAGGAGAUAGAUAAUAUGCUACGUUGCAUGGUUUAGAAGUGACCAUUUUCUUCAACGGGUGGGUGCUUACCAUAAGGGGGCUUAUGGUAUGGCUUUGGUUUGGGUUUAGGCUCGUAAAUUGGUGGUCUUGGCUUGUGGAUGGGUGGCUUAUACUUACGGGGUGGUUUGUAGAAGCUGUCAGACUCAGAUUCAGCAGCAAGCCCUUGAGGGGUCAGAAUCAGAGCCAAAAGGAACAACACAACCAAAGUUAAGAGAGAAUUAGCCAUCUUCAUUCUGUUAUUGCUUCUGCAUCUUACUCACUCAUUCAUCUCCUUUUAUAGUCAGCCUUCACGCACGUCUCAAUCCAAUUCAUUUAUCGUUCCCUCUGUCACUGUAUCAAAUGUCAAACAUUUGGUGUGCAUUUUUCUAUGCCCACUGGUCCCAUUUUGUAUCUCUCCCACUUAAUAAUACCCUCUGUGUUUAUCUCUCCCACUUACUUUUUCUUUAUUAUCAUACCAUUCUCCAAACUUUAUCGUUAAUUCUCAUCUGAAUUCGACCACUGUCGGAUACAACAAAACAAAAACACUUUCUACUACUCAUCUAGUAUACUCUCUAAUAAUUACAGAACCAUCUCGGAUCCGGUUCCCGGAUUGUUGCCGACAACACUAUUCGGCCCUAUGACACAUUUAAUUUAUUGAAUUCGUGACAAAAAUUAUCUCUGUAAUAAAAUUUAAUAUAAAUUUUUUAAUAACGUGUAUAAAUAAAUAGGAAAUGUUUUUUAAUAAUUUUUUUACAAUAUUAUUUGUGAUUGAUUUAUUUUAAAUAUUUUUUUUUAAAAUAAAUUUAUAUAGAUCAAUAAAACAAUAAAAUGUGACUGUUGUCAAAAAAAUUAUUAUGGAAAAGUUGUUAAUAGUCUAAAUAAAUAAUACAAAUGACAUAUUAUUAUUUGUUUGGACCAAUUUUUGUGAUUGUGACUUUUGUUUUAAUAGUAAAAUUAUUUUUUUGGUUUAUUCUUAAUUGAUCAAUCCAUUUUAUUUUGAAUAGGAAUAAUAGUUAACCUUCGUGAUUGUUUACAACACAUUUUAUUACAUACUGAUACAGUUGUUAUCAUGUGAUAUUGAUUCACACGGAUGAAUAUUUAUAUGAAGACGAUUAUUUGAUAAUGUAUUUUUAUUCUAAUUAUUUUAAUUUAAUUAUUUUUUAUUUUUCUGAAGUUCUAACUCAUAUCAUUAUAACUUUUUCUUAUUUUAUUAUCUUUGUCCUGUAUUCAAUUAAUUAAAUAAAAACAAAAAACAAAUAUCAUUAAACAUAAUAAAAUAAAAAUAAAUAAAAAAUCACUUUACUUAAAACAAAAUUAAAACUAUUUGGGUCCAAAAAAAAUAUUUUGAAUUGAAAUUUUCAUAAACAUGAUGACUUCACUUAAAAAAAAUGUUGAAAUUGUAGCAUUUCAUAAGACUUCAACUAUAAGAAAACCUUCAUAAGUAUAAUAACUUCACUUUAAGAAACUAAAAAAAAGAAUAGAAGUCGUUAUAGUCGUACCAUCUAAUAUGACUUUAACCCAUAUGUACGACUUAUCUUAUUGUGUAAAAUUUUAAAAAUCUAACUUCUUUACAUAAAUACAAAAGUUGAUUAAUUCCUUUUGGUUAAUUAACCUGUUUACAAAUACUUCACUACAAUAUUGGUAUGUUGAUAUCAAAUUCAGUCAUGGAAUAGUUUAAAUAGAGACGUAGUUUAAAUAGUUUUUUUUUCUACUAUAAUUUAUCCAUAUAUUGUAUAAAGACAUGACAAUUAUUGAGAAAAUGAAAAAGUUCAUUGUCUAAGAAAGAUAAAGAAAAUGAGCUAUAUGAUUAAGAUAUUAUAAAGGAUGGAUAAUAUUUUAUGUAAUAUUUAUUACUACACAAAAAAAAAAAAACAUUAGAAUUAAUGAAUGGCUAUAGUUGAAAGAAAUAAAAGAAAGUAGUAAUAGUAGUGGAGGAAGAAAAAGAACAUAAAAAUCCAUUAUAAUGGCUAGUUUUAUUAGUGUCUCCUGUAUAAGAAAUGAAAAAGUGGAUCUAAAACAAGAGAGAUAAGACACAACACUUUGAUAAAGCGACAAGAAGCCUAUCUUGUUUAAAUCUCAUUUUGUUCUCCAAACAUCUUAUUUGUUAUAAAAACUCUCAUUUAGUAUAUAUCUAAUGAGUGAUUAUAUGCUAGUGAGCUUUCUUUUUGUAACUUGUCUUUGAGACCUAAAAACCUAAACUUAGAAGUAAGUUUAAAUAUCUAUUUUUGAGUUUUACACUACAAAAACUACAGUAAUUAACGUCCACAAAAACCCCACGAAGAAAACAAAAGAAUAUGAAUCACAUAAUCGAACAAAAAAAAAAUAAGAAAAUUUUAUCUUAGAAGUCCCACGUUAACUUGAUUAAUGAUCAAUUUAUAAUAUAUAAAUGGAUAUAAAUCUCAUCGUACAAAUAGUUUUUUAGAAUUGAGUUAGAUUUAAAAUCUGAUUUUGAGUACUGACAAAGAUAAACACAAUAUACAAAUUCACAAAAUGGAUAAUGAUAUUUAGACAACAUUUUUUUGAUAACAUUUAAACAUCACCUACGUGUCAUUUUGUUAUUGGUCCAGUGGUGUUUAGAUAGAUAAUCCUGAACACGCAACCUCCAGUCAUGUUUUUUCCUUUUUACAUGUGUUCUUUUUUCCUUUUAUAAAGGGGUUCACCUCUUUGGCCAGUGUAACUUUUCAAUACAUUAUUUCUCUCCCCUUUCUUGUUUGUCUUCCUUUAGCUAUGCAAGACAUGUUCUUUUUUGCUUUUCUUUUUAGCCUAAUGGUUCACACUGUUCUUGUGUCAGUCUAUUAUGCACAACUUUAAAUAUAAAAUUUAUAUUUUGAAUUAUUUUAGAUUAUAAAAUAAAAAUAUAUAUUUUAACUUACAAAAUCCAAAAUAAAAAUUUUAUAUUCUAAAAUAUAUUAUUCAAAUUGUAUAUUUUAAAACUCAAAAUAAACAUAUGUAUUGUUCUUACGAAUCAUGUAUUCUUGGAUUGAGAAAACCUGAAACGUGUGAUGUUAUGUUAUGGGAGAGCAUGAGUACCAAAGGAGGAGUUUGUGGUUGAGAGAAUAAUGAGAGAAAAUUUAGUGUUUUCUUUUUUUUCUCUUAAUCUAAUCUAAUAACUAUAGAAAAUUCACUAUUUUAGUAACCUCAAUUUUACAUGCAUUCUAUUUCUUCUACUUAGACCCUAUUAAACUCCUCAUCCAACAUAUUAAUUUCAUCUAUACCAUAAAAAGGUAAUUAAUUAAAACACAAAAAUAACAUAAAUAGUCACAUGCAAAAUUUAAAAUUAAAUCAAUAUUAUGAAUUUUCUAAGACUUAAACACUAAAAUUGAUAAAAAAAAAUAAAAUAAAAAACAAAAAUCAAAAUUGUGACUUAAAAAAAUGAAAUAGUAAAAUAAGUAUUAAUAUAUUUUAUUUUUAAUAAGUUAAAAAAAUAUAAUAUUAAUAACAACUUUAAAUUUAUUAAUUUUAUUGAUUACUAUGGUUAAACACAAGUAAAUUUUUUAAUAUAUAUCAUAUAAAAAAUAUUUAAUAAUUUUUUAUAAUUAAUUACAUAUUAAAAGUAAUUUUUCAUAAUAAUUUGUAAGAAAACAAACACGUAUUUAAUUAUUUUAAUAAUUAAUAUAAUAAAAAAGACUAAAAAUUUUAUACUGAAAUUAUAAUUUUUUUAAUUAUACUAAAAGAGUAUAUAUCAACAUUUAUUAUAUUAAAAUAAUUAUUUAUCCUAAAAUACACAAACUAAAUUAUUGAACUGAAUUAUAUAAAAUUAAUAAAAGAGAAAAUAAAAAUAAAAAACGUGUAAAGAAGGGACAAAAUUAAAUGUGAACACAUAUUUGUAAUUAAUAUAUUUUCGGCUGAUUGAAAAGGUGUUGAUCAGUAUACGACGAAAGUGUCUUUGUCUGCUUGAUGCCAUUUCCAUCACAGUAGAAGUAGCCGACUGCAACUCAUCCUCCAUUACUGUAUAAUUGUUUCAACUUUUCAAGACUGAUUCAUGUGCUUUCACAUUUAUGAUCAAUGUUUUUGGACAGAAACAUGUUGGCUAUAUUAUUCAUUGUUUGGUUAAAUUUCGAUAAGGUUUGAAAUUUCAACGGAUAGGUAGGGAAUAUGAAAUUUGCUACUCUCAAAUUAAAGACUAUAGUACCAUUCUUAUUGUGAGUCGUUGAAAAACUUUAGUAAUUUCGUUAUCAAACUUUUUUCUUUUGCUAGUAAUUUUAUUAAGUUAUGUCAUCUUCUCUUGUUUUAUGUGCUACCACCACCAUUUGUUCUUGUUUUUACUAAUGUAUAAUUAGAACAAAGAAUAAGCUAAUGCAUUUAAAGUAAAAAAAAAAAAAAAAAAAAACAAAAUUAUUAUCAAUUUAUAUUUGAGAAAAACAUAAUUCUCGGUUUAAUUUUCAUUUUUUUCAUCUAUUUUAAAUACUUAUUCACUAAACAUACUAAGUAAAAACCAUUCUAACUAUUCAAACAGUUCAUAUUUAUCAAAAUCAACUAUCCAACAUACAUUAGUGCACAUAACUUUAUUUGCACAAAAAUAGUUCACCUUUAUCAAAAUCAAUUAUCCAACUUUAGCCCACACCACACAUAUAGAUCCAAAUGGCUCAGACAAAUAAAUACAUCUAGACGCUGCUUCUAAAAGACUGGUUUAUCGAAUAGACUGAUGAAUAAAUACAUCCUAUCAUACUUACUACUAAUUUCUUCUCAUUAUAACCAUAUUAGAAACCAAUAUUGUUCAUCAAGUCAUAACAUGAUUAACUUCACUAGUUCCCUGAUUCUCUUUCAUAUCAUAUAGUCUAAAGUGAAGCUUCCUUUGACUCUCACCACGUGGAUAUUUUUCACUAUGUAAGUUGGAUACUAGUAGAGUCGGGAUAAUCUCAUUGACGAAAUCCCUUUCAAUACACUUUGACACACUAAAUAGUAGCAUUUUCAAUUGAAAAUAGGUAUUAGGACUCAAACUGCACAUUAUCAAACCAAACCAAGUUCAAAAAAAUCUACCUUUAUAUAACAUUCAACAUAACUUCCACCCAACACAACAUCCCCACCGCUCACACUCCAAAAUGUAUCAUUUUUCACCCAACGCUUGAAAGCUACCACCUAGCGUCCACACUGCUGCAACUAUGAUGCUCAACGGUGUUCAAGGCCUAACCUAGCGGUAACAAGUCAAUAGUUGGUAUCUUAAGAAAUUUACACUAACACCCAACAAUACCCACACAAACAAAACUGAAACACGUCUAAAAUGCUUUAAAUGUUAAUAUACCAAAGAUAACAUACCCACUUUUAUCAAUAUGAUUCACUUCAUGUUCACAAACUACAUCAAUUCAUUGCUUUCAUCUACUUUAAGUUACCAUCUAUCAAUUAUACAUCAUUACAGACAUAAAUACCCAUAUUGUUGUUCAAGAUAUGAAACCUCAUUCAAAAGAUUUCAAUUCUAUAACACAUCUCUUAUGAAUCUAACCAACUUUCACCCAAAACCCAACAACUAAAAUUGGGAAAAUUGAAUAAGAUAAAAGAUCCUUACACUUACAAAUUUCACAAAGGUACAUGAUACUUUUAUAAUCGGUGCAACAUAAUAAUUCAAGACAUACAUGCACACUAAAACACUAAUUACCAAUAUGAUAUAUAUUCUAAAGUUAUUUAAAGUUUCAAACACAUUAAAAGGAUUCUAAACCUAGUGCAAAAAUCACAUACAAAUUUACUUACAUCAAAUAUACUAAUUUCUCAAUAAUUGAUAGAGACAAAGGUCCAACCAAAACUCAACCCUUCUCAAUACCAUUCUAUUAUAUAUUGCCACAGUACUCAAAACAACCAAAAACCAAAUUUCUCUUCUUCCUUCAAUAGUUUCACAAGUUCGACAUUUAGAUUUUCUUUAUUAAGCCAACAUCAAAAACAAUUUUGCACGUCUGCUACAUUAAUCACAAAUAUAGUCCAAUCUAAAUUUCUCAAUCAAAUUUUGUGCAUCGUAGAUUUCCAUGCAUAUAAUUAUGAAUACAAAUUAAAAAUAAACUAAAUGAUUAGUUUUCCUUACCUUAAAGAAAAUUCUUAGUGCUACUUUUCUCCUACACAACUUCAAAAUGUAUAAUUGCUCUAUCUAUAUAUACAACCGAAAAAGAGCCUCAUGGAAGAGAUAAAACAUAUUACUUUAACGAAAAAGAGACAAAAAUUGAAAUUACUCAAAAGAUGAAAUUGAUCGAUACAAAAUGUUCCUUAGCUCCUCAAUUUCAACAUGAUGCAUUUUGAUUUUGAAAAAUAUGAGAAAUUAAAGGUGAAAUUUGAGAGAGAAGGGAGAAAAAUGGUUGAAAGAAAAGAAAAAAUUUUAUAGUGUGUGUGGGGUUUACAAUAUGUAUGAGUAACUUCUCCAAGCCCUUCUAUAAGGGCUAUUUUAUAAUAUAGCAGUUGCUUCCAACAUUUCCUAAAAUUAUAGUUAUUAGUUGUGUUCAAUAUAGUAAAAAGUAUGUGAAGUACACAGGAACACACUAGAGAGAAGGGAGGUGAAGAGUGUUUUCAAAACAUUUUCACAAAGUAGCAUCUAAAUAACUUGUAAUGAGAAUAUAUAAAGGUGUACUAUGCUUUGACGCUGGUUUUAUGGGAUAGGUAAAUAAGAAUAGGUUCAGACGAUGGCAUUUCAAAAGAAUUUGUAAAAGCUUUAAGGGGAAAAACAAUAAAGUGCAAUUUUUAUACUAGUUCACUCAAUCUGAGCUAUGUCUAGUUCUCUUUUAAAAAUUCUUAGGGGUUUCAAUAAUCUUAUCAAAGAUUGCACAAGUUUAACCCACUCUUGGUUGCAAGUAUUCUUACACCACUCCUGGUCUCCUAGUCAACACAACUAGUCCGAGUUUAGUCUCUCUAAGAUAUAACCCUAUACAACACGUCUAGACUGAGUUUACCGACUCCUGGUUGUAAGUAUUCUUACACCACUUUUGGUCCCCUAUUUAACACGAUUAAUCCAAGUUUGACUUCUCUAAAAUCUAACACUAGACAACUGUCUAAACGAGUUUACUCACUCUUGGUUGCAAGUAUUAUUUUUCACUCCUAACACCCGAGUAUUUUAACCAUUCCUAGUUUACAAGUGUAUGAAUACAAAAUGGAAAUAACUCUUUUAGAAAGGAUGUUUAAUGAGAACAAAAUAUUCCGAAGUUCUUGUAAUUGCUCUCUCUCUAAUCAAAUGACAUAGGCUUAGAGCAAGACGCAUUUCUGUUGUUGACUCUCCAGUUUUCUCUCCUCUUGAUUUUUUUUUUUGCAUUAGACGCUAUGAGCACGAAGACAAACAUCAGAGUAGAUUUUCAAUAAGGUUUUCUUUUCUUUUCUUCUCUUCUCUUUUCUUUUUUGAAAGCUUUGAAAACUUUCAUGAUGGAAAACUUAGAGUUCUAUAAAAUUUAAGAAAUAAGAAAGAAAUUGAAAUCAUAGAAAGAUCCACAACAUUUCGCAAAAUUUUUGACAAGUGCUCAAUACUUCAAUUAUAACUAAUCUACUUUUGUAUUUAUGUAAAAAAAAUUGAAUUUUUAAAAUUUUACAUAAUAGGAUGAAGUCAUACAUGGGUUAAAGUCAUUUUAGAUAGUAUGACUGCAACUGAAUCAAAUUUCUCUUAUUUGAAGUUGUACGAGGUUACAUGACUUCUAUUUUUUAUUUUUUUAUUUUCUUAACGUGAAGUUAUUAUAGGUUUAUUUAAAAACAUUAUUUUAAUAUUAUAGUUGAAGUCAUAUGAAACGGUAUAACUUCAACAUUUUUUCUAAGUGAAGUCAUCAUGUUUAUGAAAACCUCAAUUCAAAAUAUUUUUUUUGGUACCGAAGUAGUUUUAAUUUUGUUUGAAGUAAAGUGAUUUUUUUAUUUUUUAUUUUAUUAUGUUUGAUGAUAUUUUAUUUUGUUUUUAUUUAAUUAAUUUAAUAUAGUAGUAUACUAUAUGAGUAGUAGGGUAGUAGAAAGUGUUUUUGUUUUGUUGUAUCCGACAGUGGUCGAAUUCAGAUUAGAAUUAACGAUAAAGUUUGGAGAAUGGUGUAAUAGUAUAGAAAAAAGUAAGUGGGAGAGAUAAACACAGAGGCUAUUAUUAAGUGGGAGAGAUACAAAAUGGGACCAGUGGGCAUAGAAAAAUGCACACCAAAUGUUUGACAUUUGACAGAGUGACAGAGGGAACGAUAAAUGAAUAGGAUUGAGACGUGCGUGAAGGCUGACUAUAAAAGGAGAUGAAUGAGUGAGUAAGAUGCAGAAGCAAUAACAGAAUGAAGAUGGCUAAUUCUCUCUUAACUUUGGUUGUGUUGCUCCUUUUGGCUCUGAUUCUGACCCCUCAAGGGCUUGCUGCUGAAUCUGAGUCUGACAGCUUCUACAAACCACCCCAUAAGUAUAAGCCACCCAUCCACAAGCCAAGACCACCAAUUUACAAGCCUAAACACAAACCAAAGCCAUACCACAAGCCCCCUUAUGGUAAGCACCCACCCGUUGAAGAAAAUGGUCACUUCUAAACCAUGCAACGUAUCAAGUUAUCUAUCUCCUAAAUAAAAACACUUUCAUCUUUGUAGUGCCUCCAUCAAUAAUCAUUUCAAUCAUCUUCUCUCUCUCUUUCCAUGAAUCUGUAACCAGAAUAUCUAUCAUGCUUUUGUACUCUCACUUCAUAUAUAAAAUGUCUUUUAUGCUUUCCUCGUUCUUUGCUUUUUCUUCUUUCUUUCAUUUUCUAUCAGACACCAUCUUCAACGUCAAGUUUGAAAAAUUAUGCUUUACGAGUAUAACCACCAUUCCACUGUAAGAACACUCUAAUUAAUUAACUUGUUAAUUAUAUCUAUUGUUCCGGUGAUAAUUUUUGGGGACCGAGACACUAACCUGGAUGACGUGGCUUUCCCGCUUUCUGACGCUUGGACUGGUCGGAUUGCUCGCUUUUCCUGGAUCUUGACCGCUCGCUUUCCUUCACCCUUGACCGUUCGGUAGUCUUCAAGCUUUGACCGAAGGGGGAGGUACCUGCAAAAGGCACUCCGACGCCCAAGUCAGGCGUGUGAUGGAAGAACCUCGGUUCUUAAUUGAAUAUUUAGUGAAGGGUUUUCACUAUUUGAGAAUAUGAGUUGAAUGUGAAUGAAGUGUGAUUGGAAGUUGAUUCGAAGGUGAUUCGAAGAUACCUGGCUUGUNNN